rnacentral:rRNA from 1 species
GAUGAACGCUGGCGGCGUGCUUAACACAUGCAAGUCGAACGAUGAAGCCCAGCUUGCUGGGUGGAUUAGUGGCGAACGGGUGAGUAACAUGUGAGUAACCUGCCCUUAACUCUGGGAUAAGCCUGGGAAACUGGGUCUAAUACCGGAUAGGAGCGUCCACCGCAUGGUGGGUGUUGGAAAGAUUUAUCGGUUUUGGAUGGACUCGCGGCCUAUCAGCUUGUUGGUGAGGUAAUGGCUCACCAAGGCGACGACGGGUAGCCGGCCUGAGAGGGUGACCGGCCACACUGGGACUGAGACACGGCCCAGACUCCUACGGGAGGCAGCAGUGGGGAAUAUUGCACAAUGGGCGCAAGCCUGAUGCAGCGACGCCGCGUGAGGGAUGACGGCCUUCGGGUUGUAAACCUCUUUCAGUAGGGAAGAAGCGAAAGUGACGGUACCUGCAGAAGAAGCACCGGCUAACUACGUG